GAUGGACGCUGGCGGCGUGCCUAAUACAUGCAAGUAGAACGCUGAAGGAAGGAGCUUGCUCUUUCGGGAUGAGUUGCGAACGGGUGAGUAACGCGUAGGUAACCUGCCUGGUAGCGGGGGAUAACUAUUGGAAACGAUAGCUAAUACCGCAUAACAGUAGAUGUUGCAUGACAACUAUUUGAAAGGGGCAAUUGCUCCACUACCAGAUGGACCUGCGUUGUAUUAGCUAGUUGGUGAGGUAACGGCUCACCAAGGCGACGAUACAUAGCCGACCUGAGAGGGUGAUCGGCCACACUGGGACUGAGACACGGCCCAGACUCCUACGGGAGGCAGCAGUAGGGAAUCUUCGGCAAUGGACGGAAGUCUGACCGAGCAACGCCGCGUGAGUGAAGAAGGUUUUCGGAUCGUAAAGCUCUGUUGUAAGAGAAGAACGAGUGUGAGAGUGGAAAGUUCACACUGUGACGGUAUCUUACCAGAAAGGGACGGCUAACUACGUG
rnacentral:rRNA from 1 species